ACUGGACUUGCACUUGGGAAUCUACUGA
rnacentral:piRNA from 1 species